rnacentral:misc_RNA from 1 species
UAGCUGCGUUAAACGGUGUGAAUUGCAGGACACGCCGAGCACUUGAUUUUCGAACGCACAUUGCGGCUACGGGUUCGUCCCGUAGCCUCGUCUGUCUGAGGGUCGGAUAACUUAUUGACUGUAAUACAGGCCCUCUCGUGGGGACCCUUCGAGGGACCCCUCGCAGGGUUGUCAGACUGCGCUUGUCCCCUUGCGGCGGCGGCGGUCCGAGACGUCUUGUCAGCACCUCUUGUUGCUCGCACUCGACUACGCACGGCACCGCGCGUCGGCACUGGGCGCGCCCGACCUGGGUGGCACACCCCACAAAGUAUCUCACUUUGUCGACCUCAGAUCAGGCGAGAUUACCCGCUGAACUUAA